rnacentral:rRNA from 1 species
AGCGAACGCUGGCGGCAGGCCUAACACAUGCAAGUCGAACGAACAUAUCGGGGUUAGUGGCGGACGGGUGAGGCACCCGUGGGAACGUGCCUUUAGGUUCGGAAUAACUCAGGGACACUUGUGCUAACACCGAACGUGCCCUACUGGGGAAAGAUUAAUCGCCUUUAGAGGGGCCCGCGUCUGAUUAGCUAGUUGGUUGAGGUAAUGGCUCACCAACGCGACGAUCACUAGCUGGUCUGAGAGGAUGAUCAGCCACAUUGGGAGUGAGACACGGCCCAGACUCCUACGCGAGGCAGCAGUGGGGAAUCUUGCAAAAUGGCCGGGAGCCUGACGGAGCCAUGCCGCGAGAAUGAUGAUGGUCUGGGGAUUGUAAAAUUCUUUGACCGGCGACGAUAAUGACGGUACCCGGAGAAGAAGCCCCGGCUAACUUCGUG